rnacentral:rRNA from 1 species
GACGUAGGGGGCAAGCGUUGUCCGGAUUUAUUGGGCGUAAAGGGUGCGUAGGUGGUGGGGUAAGUUUGAUGUGAAAUCUCCGAGCUUAACUCGGAAAUGGCAUUGAAUACUACUCUGCUAGAGGGUCGGAGGGGAGACUGGAAUUUUCGGUGUAGCAGUGAAAUGCGUGGAUAUCGAAAGGAACACCAGUGGCGAAAGCGAGUCUCUGGACGACUCCUGACACUGAGGCACGAAGGCUAGGGGAGCAAACAGG